UUUUGCCCUUCCUAAUGCAGUGACUUGGCGAGGGGAAAUGACCCGGGGAUGUGGGCGGCUCUCGAUUCUCCCCUGGGAGAGAGACGUUCGGGCAAAGUUGCGCUGCUACCCAUAAAUAGCAGAGGGGGAGAGGGCUUGGGCUCAGAGGCAGUGCAGGCCCCCCCCUCCCCAACUCCAUUCAUCCCCAGAGCUCACAAGACACCGCGUCCCCUACACAGUGAGCGCACCGGGGCCAUGCAGUGAAGAGUCCCAGCUGAGACCAUCCAGUUCCCAGAGCAGCCUGCGGACAGCUCGCCGCCCCACUGCCAGCCAGGACUGACUCCGCGCAGUGAAGAACAGACCAGCGCGUCCCAACCCAAGAUGCAGAGGUGGACUAGUUUCCUGUUUCUCUCUCUAAUCUUUUGCGCCACCCUCUCAGAGACAUUUGGACUCGUUUUAUCAGCAAAAGAAAAGAGGGGCUGGACUUUGAAUAGUGCUGGUUACCUACUUGGGCCACACGCAGUAGAUAAUCACAGAUCUUUUAAUGACAAACAUGGCCUAGCUGGUAAACGUGAGAUACAGCCUGAAGAGGAUAUGAAAACAGGUAAUUUUGGGAGACCAGUGGCUGAUGACAAUGUUGUACGCACAAUCAUUGAAUUUUUGACUUACUUGCAACUUAAAGGGAAUGCGAAUAGUUCAACAGUACAUCCUCUGGCACAAAAAUCUUAGUCCAAAGGCAAACCUUUCUCAAGAGUUUUGAAACCCAACAUAUCCUUGCUUACCUGAAUCGAGCAUGUUGAAUAAUUAUACAGUCAACAUUAGGGGAAACGGAAAAUAUUUUCAAGAUCUCUAAAUGGUCAAGAGGCUGGGGCACUAGACAAUUUACUUUCAUCAGAAGAAACAAAUCAGUCCUGAAAAAUAAUGUAUUUAUAUUUUGUUGUAUUGUAAAUUAAGACUGAACUCUAAACAGAGUUUUGAACGAUCAGAAGAUGGUGAUUAUUGUUUACAUUACUCUUCUACAGAGUUACACAUGGUAAACUACAUUUUGCCCUUUUUGUUUUGUUUUUUUCUGUGAUGUUACAAUGUAAGAUUUUGCCUUGAUAAAAAACAUUUCUUUAGGUAGAUGGUAAAAUAAAAAAGAGC